rnacentral:tRNA from 1 species
GGUUCAGAAGCUUAGUUGGUAAAGCGCUCGUCUAGCGUCCAAGAGUUCUGGGUUCGAAUUCCAGCCGAGCAA